rnacentral:tRNA from 1 species
GUUGUUUUGGCAGAGUAGUGCAAUUGAUUUAGAAUCUUUAUAUGUAUAUUUUUAUACAAAUAACA